rnacentral:rRNA from 1 species
CUGUCCUCAAGGAAGAUACUGACGGUACUUGAGGAGGAAGCCCCGGCUAACUACGUGCCAGCAGCCGCGGUAAUACGUAGGGGGCUAGCGUUAUCCGGAUUUACUGGGCGUAAAGGGUGCGUAGGCGGUCUUUCAAGUCAGGCGUGAAAGGCUACGGCUCAACCGUAGUAAGCUCUUGAAACUGGGAGACUUGAGUGCAGGAGAGGAGAGUGGAAUUCCUAGUGUAGCGGUGAAAUGCGUAGAUAUUAGGAGGAACACCAGUUGCGAAGG